AAAAAGUUCAUUCGGGUUUUU
rnacentral:miRNA from 1 species